CCGAUAUCCGAAUUGAGAAAUUCAAUAUUGUUUGGAAUUAGUUUAAUCAACUAAUGAAUGACAGUGUGCAAUUUUCUCAUAGUAGGACAUUGCGAUCCAUUAGUUAAAAUUUAAGUUUAUCAAACGGUCCGCGUAGUCAGUUUAAUCUAUCUGCAAUAUUUUUAUAUUGUAUGGUUAAUGCUAUUGCGGUGUCCUGGUAAACGGCUGAUGGAGCUUAAAAAUCAUGCCCGCAUGCUUUAUGUAUCACGGUUUCGUUGAUUCGUCAAUGGGAUGCAGUGGUCGCAUGUAUUUGAUUAGCAAUGCGAUAGAUUUGGGAUACCUUCGGGACCCGUCUUGAAACACGGACCAAGAAGUCUAACAUGUGUGUAAGUCAUUGGGUAUCUGUUGAAACCUAAAGGCGAAAUUAAAAUAACUAUUUUAUGGGAUUACGAGCAAUCUUAACGAUUGUUCCUCCAUCCCGGGGCGUUCUAUAUGAACAUGGUUUAAGCAAUUAGACCCUCUGUUCGAGAGCGUACCUUGAACAUACAUGCUGUGAC
rnacentral:rRNA from 1 species